UACAGAGGGUGCAAGCGUUGUUCGGAAUUAUUGGGCGUAAAGGGCGCGUAGGCGGUGCGGUAAGUCUGUAGUGAAAUCUCUGGGCUCAACUCAGAGUCUGCUGCAGAAACUGCCGUGCUUGAGUGUGGGAGAGGUGAGUGGAAUUCCCGGUGUAGCGGUGAAAUGCGCAGAUAUCAGGAGGAACACCGGUGGCGAAGGCGGGUCUCUGGGCCAUAACUGACGCUGAGGAGCGAAAGCGUGGGGAGCGAACAGG
rnacentral:rRNA from 1 species